UUUAUUUGUGUAUAAACUGUUUAAUUUGGGUAUAAACGGUUUGAGCUAGAAUUGUAUCAGUUAGAAUAGUAAUAGAAUUCUAUUAGCUGUGUUUAAUGUUCCUGUCUCUGUAAGUGGAUCACUGUCACACAUUGUACUAAUGACGCAUAUUAACAUUUGCAGUCAGCUCAGUGAAUCUCCUCCAUUAGUCUGAGAAUCAGAAUUGCCUUGUAUAAUAAGCCAAAUAUGUCUUAUUUUUAUUGUUAUCUUAUUUGAACUUGUAUAAGGUUAACUUUAAAUGUUACUUUAGUAC